UACGAAGGGGGCUAGCGUUGCUCGGAAUCACUGGGCGUAAAGGGUGCGUAGGCGGGUCUUUAAGUCAGGGGUGAAAUCCUGGAGCUCAACUCCAGAACUGCCUUUGAUACUGAGGAUCUUGAGUUCGGGAGAGGUGAGUGGGACUGCGAGUGUAGAGGUGAAAUUCGUAGAUAUUCGCAAGAACACCAGUGGCGAAGGCGGCUCACUGGCCCGAUACUGACGCUGAGGUGCGAAAGCGUGGGGAGCAAACAGG
rnacentral:rRNA from 1 species